rnacentral:tRNA from 1 species
GGAGAGAUGUCUGAGCGGUUUAAGGAGCUGGUCUUGAAAACCAGUGUGGGGAAACUCACCGUGGGUUCGAAUCCCACUCUCUCCG